CACAACCAGAGGAAGCAGGCGGACAGCUGGAGUCUGCAGGGCUCGGAAGUCCGGAGGAUGCAGCGCCGCUUUGUGCGGUCUCGGAGGAAGAGAAAGUGGGAGUGAGGGUGUGAGGUGGGGAGGGGCUUGGGCGGAGCCUGCUGCUCAUGAAACAGAGCUGCGGAGCCGGCAGGGCAGCAUUCACAUGGCUGGAGAGCAGCUGCUGGGUGCAGGGGGGCGCCAGUGCAGGAGCAGGAGGGGGCUUGGGUGCGGCGAUUGAGCGGGGCAGAGGUGGUGUCAGUGUCCCAGGACGAGCACCUCGGCGAUCUGCGCCCCUUGUCCCCAAGACCCAUGCUACUCGGGGCUCUGUAGCGCUGUCCUCCCAUCUCCUGGCGACGGGCCAGCAUCGCCUGCAGGACACAGCCUCUCCCAGGGCUAAGCUGCUGUCAUUGGAUCCACGGGUGCUGUGCUGGGGACGCUCGGGUCCUGGAUUGUGACCGGGUCCUGGGAGCGCCACAGCCAGGGGGUCGCUCCGCCGUCCCCCCGCACUGGAAUCUCCCGCGGGGCAGCAUGUUUGUGUUAGCUGGGCCACGGGACUCUUCACUUGGGCAAAACUGAGGAGGCAGAACCAGUGAUGCAGCUUCUCGGCAGCUUCUUGAGACUUCUUGUGGCUCUCGCGCUGCAGGCACCACCCGCUCAGCAGUGGGACAGAUUCAGCAGAAAUAUUACCUCAGAAGCGCAAGUACUGCCCUUCCAGGAGGUUUGGGGGCGCAGCUUCUGUCGGCCCUUGGAAAUGCUGGUGGAUAUUGUGUCCGAGUACCCCAGUGAGAUGGAGCACAUGUUCAGCCCUUCCUGUAUUUCCCUGCAACGCUGCACUGGCUGCUGUGGAGAUGAGACACUGCAGUGUGUCCCAGUGGAGACAGCCAACAUCACCAUGCAGCUCCUGAAGAUGAAGCCAGCGGGGCAGGUGCCCUAUGUGGAGCUGUCCUUUACUGAGCACAGGCAGUGCGAGUGCAGGCCUCGGCGGACUACAAUGAAGUUAGGAAGGAGGAGACCCAAGGGCCAAGGCAAGAGGAGACGAGAGAAGCAGCGACCUAAAGGCUGUGAUCAGUGAGUGGCUGUUGAUCCAGGAGGAGGGGCCAGGGCAGUGGCUCUUGCCAGAAGCUUCUCUCAGUUGUGGUCCUUUGGCUGCAGCUUGCUGCACAAAUUAGGCUCAUGGAAAAUGCACCAACAUCUGGCGUGAAACUGCUGCAUCCCAACACACAGGGGCUGAUACAGACCUGGGCCUGCCUCUGCCAUCUUUCCUGGGGAUUUCAAAGUACUUUUCAAACAUAAAUUAAACCCUCCUGAUCCCUGACCCCAGUUCUGCUCCACUGGAAGGUGUGCCAUUCCACGCAGUUAGUCAUCUCAGCAGGAGAGGGCAGGACCACAGCACCUGAACUUAUUACGUAAUUGCCUGUACGUAUGCACCAAUUGCAUUCUUGACUGAACCUUGUAGGACUUUGUGGCUGCUUGCAACCUAGGAGCUGUGGUCCUCCGAGCAGACAAGAAGCAGUGAGGUGAGCAACAGGACAAGCGCAUGGGCCCUUUUGCAGGAGAAGAUAAUCUGGACUCCUGCUGGCUGCCUGCAGGGAUCCAACACCAGGAUGAGGGGAACUUAGCUGAAUUAGGGGCAGACACCCCUCAACCUGCCUGGCUUCUCCCUUAAGGGCCUCCCUUGACUCUGCACAGUUCACAUUAAUGGUUAAAGGACCCAGGAGCCAGAUUCAGGACUAAAAUACUGCAUAAUGAGGCUCUGAGGUCCUAGGCUUUGCAUUCAGCACUCUGCCAGAGGACAGCAGGGGCCGAGUUCUGCAAACAUGGGAAUGUUUUUGUGGCCUUUGCAGCUAGAGGAGGAUCCCAAAGGGUGGAGCAGGACAGUGCAGAACCUCCAGGAAGUGCCAGUCCACAGGGUGCCACUUUGGGAACACUUUCUGCUGUUGUCACCCACAGGAGUCUUAUGCUGCCACCCCCACUUUUGCAGAGCAAGCCUGCUCCCAAGUUGUCAGUGUGUGGAGGGUACCACACAGUCAUGAAGGAAGAAACCUGGUCCCCUGUGGGGAAUCCAAAUUCUGGCGCAGGAAAGAAGUAGAGAAGCUGCAGUGAAGCAUGGAGGCAGGUGACCUGGGACUUAUUCGCUGUGGAAGUUCCCUGGGUGGGUUAGGGUGUGAUAGAGAGUCCCAAACUGUAUGACAUGACACCCCCAGUACCUUGGCUGCAGCACAGCGAUUUUCAAGCUAAGUCCUGAAUAAAAUCUUAUCAUAGUGACA